AUGGCGGCGGAGAAAACCAAGCAGAGGCGCGGAAUUGAGGAGAGCGCGAGGAUGAGGGACAAGGGUCGAUUGUCCGACGAGACGCCGUCGGAGGAGGGCCACGAAAUCAUCCGUUUCCGCCGCGGCUGGGAAUCCCUUUACUCCCAUCCACACCGAUCCUUCGAUGCAACCACUUUCGCCCCGAUGCGCUAUACACAUGUACCCAUCCCAAAGUACGCGGACUGCAACUACGGUCUGCAGAUCUUCUCCGUCAAAGUCAACCAACUCCUCCUCAACGAGGAAGAGGAAGAGGAAGAGGGGCUCCACUGGCCACUGCACGUCUAUGGCUUGGUCGCCACCAGGGACUCGCUUGAUCCUAGGCGCAAUCUUCUUUUCAACCGCACCAGGAUAACUGCCAAAUCCUCACCCAACAGAGUCCUUGUCUAUCACCAUGAUUAUUCUUUGGCAGAUCCUCCUUUCAUAGUUCGGAGGCGUCGCCGUUGCAAGAGAAUUGAGGCGACUAUCAGUGUCCAGGUUGUUGAUGGGUCGUCAUGGCCGGAUGAUUUGGGAGUACAGGUUGCUGCCCGCACGGCCAGUAUAGGUGAUGAGGCCAUCAAGCUACUUGAUUCUCGAUCUGCACAUGGUGGUAGAGUGCCCAUCUGCCCUGAUGAUGGUGUGAUUAAGCUUUCAAGGCGUGUUGUUUGUGUGGAACUAGCAGGAGGUCUGGAAGUUGAUGUACUGGCUUUACAUAAUAAACAGCUUGUUGAUGGUAGCAAGGGUGGCCUAUUGGAUGUUGCUGCUGCAGAUAAGGUCAGUUUCACACCUAAAAGGGCUUCAACAAGCUGUGGGAUAUGUGAUUUAGGCUUCUGUAAGUUGGAAAUCACCGUUGCUUGGUCCCUUACCGCUUCCCUGGCAAAUGAGCAGGCUUAUCCGGCCAUGCGUUACACGUUUGGACACAUCCCAAAAUCAAGUUUUGUUGGCUGCGACAGCGGAUUGCAGAUCUUCUCAAUCAAACUCCUCCUCCGCAACACCAGCACAACAGACCAUCAGCUCCAGUGGCCACUUCAUGUCUAUGGCCUCGUCGCUACCAGGGACUCUCUUGAUCCUAGGCGCAACCUUCUCUUUAAUCGCACUAGAGACAACUGCCAAAUCCUUACUCAACAGGAUCCCUUUCUAGUGCUAACAGGACCGUCUCGCGCAAUUGUCUUAAUUGAUCCUGUUCAAUUUGAGGUUCAGCUCAAAGCAAAGUCCAAUAACAACACCCUGCAUGAUCAUCCUGACCAAGAUCAAAUUGUUAACUUUGGAGUGGUGAAUUCUGGCUAUCUUCCGGGCCCAACGAGUCAUUGCAUCGGCAAGCGAAAUGGAAAAAUGCCUAUCGAUGAUGACGGCUUCAUUCAGCUUUCAAGGCGUGUUGUUUCGGUAGAACUGGCUGGCCAACUCAUAGUUCAAGUGCUGGCUUUCAAUUCCCAGCAGCAAGUAGUUGACAAUGACAACGACAACAAGAAGGAUGAGAUUGUUGCAAAACACGAGAUUGUUUUUGAUCCUAAGGAAGCUUCAUUGAGUGUGGAGACGUGUGAGCUACAACUAGGAGGAGGCCCAUGUAAGCUUCAAAUCUCUGUUGCUUGGUCUCUGGUCGAUAGGCUUCCCCCUGUGGUGAAUCUAGUGGCGGUGGUUGUCAGAGGUGGUCGGGAGCCAGUGCCCCGAAUCGACGGUCUUGGAGGCGGCGACCAGAAGCUGGCACCCCGAAUCGACGGUCUCGGCAGUGACAACAGUCGGGAGCCGAUGACCCCAAUCGAUGGUCUCUGCGGUGAAGGUCGGGAACCAACGCCCCUAUUACAGCAACAUUUAGGUAGUGGCACCACUAGUAAAAAAACAUUUUUUUCUAGACGGGCGACAGAGUCAGACGGGGGCGACGAAGGCUUUCGUGGCUGCUCGGCGCUUGCAGUCGCGAGCCAGAUGUUGGAAGCCCCGGCAGUGGCAGCAACGCACCAGGAGACGGCACGAGGCAACCUGGUGCAAGGUGGAGAGACAGUUGAAACACCGGUCGAGAAGGUCCGGCGGGAUGCCGUGAGCUCCUAGCUGCGCCAGU
rnacentral:lncRNA from 1 species